rnacentral:rRNA from 1 species
UAGGGAAUCUUCGGCAAUGGACGAAAGUCUGACCGAGCAACGCCGCGCGAGUGAAGAAGGUUUUCGGAUCGUAAAACUCUGUUGUUAGAGAAGAACAAGGACGUUAGUAACUGAACGUCCCCUGACGGUAUCUAACCAGAAAGCCACGGCUAACUACGUGCCAGCAGCCGCGGUAAUACGUAGGUGGCAAGCGUUGUCCGGAUUUAUUGGGCGUAAAGCGAGCGCAGGCGGUUUCUUAAGUCUGAUGUGAAAGCCCCCGGCUCAACCGGGGAGGGUCAUUGGAAACUGGGAGACUGGAGUGCAGAAGAGGAGAGUGGAAUUCCAUGUGUAGCGAUGAAAUGCGUAGAUAUAUGGAGGAACACCAGUGGCGAAGGCGGCUCUCUGGUCUGUAACUGACGCUGAGGCUCGAAAGCGUGGGGAGCAAACAGG